AGAGUUUGAUCCUGGCUCAGGACGAACGCUGGCGGCGUGCCUAAUACAUGCAAGUCGAGCGAAUCAGAUGGGAGCUUGCUCCCGGAUGAUUAGCGGCGGACGGGUGAGUAACACGUGGGCAACCUGCCCGUAAGAUUGGGAUAACUCCGGGAAACCGGUGCUAAUACCGAAUAGUUUCUGACACCUCAUGGUGUCAGAGG
rnacentral:rRNA from 1 species